ensembl:lncRNA
AUGUAUUGUGCUUUUAGCAUCAUUGCUUUUUUUGACCAGUUUCAGAUUACACACUGUUCGAGGUCAGAGAAGCGAGUGGAACACGUGGCAUGCCAGGUCGUGCAGGGAGCAGUUUUCCCUUUAGCGUCUAAGCUUUUUGAGGACGGGUACUUAGGAAGAAGUUUACCUGUGGCACCAGGUACAGUUGCUUUGAGGGCGGGAACACCCACUAAACCUCUAAGCAAAUGUGGAAAUUUAUCUUUCUUGAGGACACAAGCUGACAAAUUCCAGCCUAUAUACCAACCUGAAAGACCAAGCAAGCCUUGGAAAAAAAAUGAAGCGCUGGCCAGUCCAGAGCGAGGCAGAAGAUUGAGUCAGGGGUUUCAUCUUAGUCAAAAGGAUGCACCUUCUUCUUCUCCCUCCUGGCACAUCUGCCUCAUGAGUCCUGAGCCCAGGUUAUCGUCCACUCAGGACCUGGCCUGUCCUCUCCGCUGCCGUAUCCCAAGCCACAGUCAGCUUCAUGGCCAGGUGACAUUCAACAGAGACAAGGUGAGAGUUUCUCAAAACUCUUCCUUACAAAGGCAGUUAAAAAAAAAGAAACGAGUGAAGCAGAGUAAAGCAAAGUAUAGAAUUCAAAAUGCCUUAACAGGACGUGUUUUGUAGAGCCCGUGAUUGAAUGCAAAUCAAGGAAACUUGGCCAUCGACAGAUCCCAGAGUGUCAGAGCAGUGAGGGACCUUCAGAGAGUUUCCAGCCCACCCUCGUGACCUUGUAGACGGGCCUCGAGCCUGGGAGGGAAGGACUUCCCCAGAGUUAACAUCAGCAUCAGCGUCAGUGUCAGAGCUGGCCCAGGACCCGCAUCUUCUCCUGGUCCAGUUCUGUUUCCAGACAUGAUGCUUCUGCUGUUCCAGCCUCCUAAAACGGUCGUUCCUCAGGCCCGCAUGUGUUGAAAUAGCUCUUUUUUUUUUUUUUCUUUAGCAGUCUCUGUGCUAGCAAAUAGAUUUUUUAGCAGUCUCUACGGAACAGAUAAUGCAUUCUUUUGGUUUCCAAAUCAAAUAUUAUCAGGGAAUGGCAUAAAAAGCCUUUCUCCUUCCCCUGCCUCUGUUUCUCCUAUCUAUAGACAAUGCUUCUUCUUAGCUUCUUGUUCUUUUUUUUUUUUUUCUAGGAAUUUUUUUUGCAUAUGUAAGCAAUUUGAUGAAAUACUCUCUCCCCCCUUUUUUUUUUAAACACACUGUAUACUCUGAUUUCGCUUUUUCCCCUCAAGUUUUUAUCUAGGAAAACUCCCCAUAUGAAUGUACAGGGAGUGCCCUCAUUCAUCUUUGCAGCAGCAAAGUUUUCCAUUACCAAUGGGGAUCCUAGUUUAUUUAGUUGGUCCUCCAGGGGUGUCAAUUUUGAUGGUUUCCAACAUUUUGCUCUUAUAAACAACACUGCAGGAGAUACCUGUGUAUACCUGUCAUUUCGUGUGUUUGUGAUUCAUAUAUGUAAGAUAAAUUCCGCAAAGAUGAAGUAGAAGAAUCUUAAGGGUAUAUGUAUUUGUCGUUUUGAUAGACGUUGCUGAAUUGCCCCAGUAACCGUCGUGUCAGUGUAGACUCUUAUAAUGUUUGCAAGUUCCUCUUUCUCCAGGUCCUCUCCAACACAGCCUGUCAGCAGAUUUCAUAUCUUUGC